CCCUCUUUAAUCUAUAUUNACUAAUCAUCUGAGUUCCAGAGGCGAUAUAUUGAAUUCCUUAAGUAAGGGUUAAAUUGUUGAUAUUGGAAGACAUUCGAAAGCGGAAGCAUUUAUCGAUUUGGAUCUGACGCUAGGUACUAAAGUAUGGGUAUGAAGAGGAUUAGAGACCUUGUAGUCCAUACCUUAAACUAUGAGUGUUCAACGUCCUUU
rnacentral:rRNA from 1 species